rnacentral:other from 1 species
CUAGCCCUGCUGCGUUCGCGAGGUUGGCGUAUUCUUUGAACCGAUACGUACCCCCCGGUUGCGGCAUGAUGUCGCUGGUGUGCGCGUGGCUAGUCUCAUGUGCCUGAUGCCGACGCGCCGCGACCACCUUGAGCCUCUGGGUUCAAGAUAGCCUGCCGAACGGCGUAUGCGGGGCUACU